rnacentral:rRNA from 2 species
AAAUUGAAGAGUUUGAUCAUGGCUCAGAUUGAACGCUGGCGGCAGGCCUAACACAUGCAAGUCGAACGGUAACAGGAAGCAGCUUGCUGCUUCGCUGACGAGUGGCGGACGGGUGAGUAAUGUCUGGGAAACUGCCUGAUGGAGGGGGAUAACUACUGGAAACGGUGGCUAAUACCGCAUAACGUCGCAAGACCAAAGAGGGGGACCUUCGGGCCUCUUGCCAUCAGAUGUGCCCAGAUGGGAUUAGCUAGUUGGUGAGGUAACGGCUCACCAAGGCGACGAUCCCUAGCUGGUCUGAGAGGAUGACCAGCCACACUGGAACUGAGACACGGUCCAGACUCCUACGGGAGGCAGCAGUGGGGAAUAUUGCACAAUGGGCGCAAGCCUGAUGCAGCCAUGCCGCGUGUAUGAAGAAGGCCUUCGGGUUGUAAAGUACUUUCAGCGGGGAGGAAGGUGUUGUGGUUAAUAACCGCAGCAAUUGACGUUACCCGCAGAA